rnacentral:rRNA from 1 species
ACGCUGGCGGCGUGCCUAAUACAUGCAAGUAGAACGCUGAAGAGAGGAGCUUGCUCUUCUUGGAUGAGUUGCGAACGGGUGAGUAACGCGUAGGUAACCUGCCUUGUAGCGGGGGAUAACUAUUGGAAACGAUAGCUAAUACCGCAUAACAAUGGAUGACACAUGUCAUUUAUUUGAAAGGGGCAAUUGCUCCACUACAAGAUGGACCUGCGUUGUAUUAGCUAGUAGGUGAGGUAACGGCUCACCUAGGCGACGAUACAUAGCCGACCUGAGAGGGUGAUCGGCCACACUGGGACUGAGACACGGCCCAGACUCCUACGGGAGGCAGCAGUAGGGAAUCUUCGGCAAUGGGGGCAACCCUGACCGAGCAACGCCGCGUGAGUGAAGAAGGUUUUCGGAUCGUAAAGCUCUGUUGUAAGUCAAGAACGAGUGUGAGAGUGGAAAGUUCACACUGUGACGGUAGCUUACCAGAAAGGGACGGCUAACUACGUGCCAGCAGCCGCGGUAAUACGUAGGUCCCGAGCGUUGUCCGGAUUUAUUGGGCGUAAAGCGAGCGCAGGCGGUUUGAUAAGUCUGAAGUUAAAGGCUGUGGCUCAACCAUAGUUCGCUUUGGAAACUGUCAAACUUGAGUGCAGAAGGGGAGAGUGGAAUUCCAUGUGUAGCGGUGAAAUGCGUAGAUAUAUGGAGGAACACCGGUGGCGAAAGCGGCUCUCUGG